AGUUCCUCUGAUGACACCCCAAAUCUGGAAAUGAAGAACUUCUUAGAGCUGAUUGGAAAUGGCAUUGCGGAGCUGAAACUUAACUGGAGGAAAUUUAUCUCCUGAAGAAGAAAAUAUAAUGCACUGUAAGGAUCUGACUUCUGGUGAAAAAUUCAAGCCUAGAGAAAACUUGUCUGCUUUGUUAGGAGGAAUGGGUUGGACAAUUUUCUUCAAUUCCAGAGGAUAUCUGAAUGCCAUGCUGAGCUUAAUCUCUGCAGCAUGCUCUGUGCUUCUCAUCUCUUCCUGAUGCACUGCAUGGUUAUCCUGAAGGGGAGGAUAAAGAAACUGGCCACCAAGAUGGUAAUCACUAGCGGGAAUGAAGAAGAUAAAGGCAGUCAAGAAAAGGAAAGCAAAGAAGAAACCAUCUUGGCCAUGCUUGGAAUUAUUGGGACAAUUCUGAACCUCAUUGUGAUCAUUUUUGUGUACAUUUACACAACGUUGUAAACUAGAAGGCACGCAAAUAGACCGGAUAAGACGACCAUUAGGAGUGACGACAAACAUUGCUGGCUAAUGACAAGUUGUUUAAUCGGAAUUGACUCUGUAUUAUAUUAACACAUCAUAAAAGCACUGCCCGCAGGCAGCGAAGGCUGAAGCACAAUUAAUUUAACAAGACUUUUUCACACAGUAACAAGCUUAACUCUUUUGUCCUGCCCUCUUCCUUUCCGUUUGGGUUUCGGUCUGGGGGAAAAUGACUGCAAUUAUGUAAGUUGUAGCUCUGAAGAAAUCCACCCGGGAUUUGUUGUUUUAACACAAUUUAAGAAAAAGAAAAA